rnacentral:miRNA from 1 species
UGGCAAGAACUUUGGCACGGCCU